AGAAGUGGAAGAUGAACUGAAGAUCAGAACGACAGGUUUGCUGUUCCAACACACAGGAUGUAAAGACAACAGGUUUGCUGUUCCAACACACAGGAUGUAAAGACAACAGGUUUGCUGUUCCAACACAGGAUGUAAAGACAACAGGUUUGCUGUUCUAACACACAGGAUGUAAAGACAACAGGUUUGCUGUUCUAACACACAGGAUGUAAAGACAACAGGUUUACUGUUCUAACACACAGGAUGUAAAGACAACAGGUUUGCUGUUCUAACACACAGGAUGUAAAGACAACAGGUUUGCUGUUCCAACACACAGGAUGUAAAGACAACAGGUUUACUGUUCCAACACACAGGAUGUAAAGACAACAGGUUUGCUGUUCUAACACACAGGAUGUAAAGACAACAGGUUUGCUGUUCCAACACACAGGAUGUAAAGACAACAGGUUUACUGUUCUAACACACAGGAUGUAAAGACAACAGGUUUGCUGUUCUAACACACAGGAUGUAAAGACAACAGGUUUACUGUUCUAACACACAGGAUGUAAAGACAACAGGUUUGCUGUUCCAACACACAGGAUGUAAAGACAACAGGUUUACUGUUCCAACACACAGGAUGUAAAGACAACAGGUUUACUGUUCCAACACACAGGAUGUAAAGACAACAGGUUUACUGUUCUAACACACAGGAUGUAAAGACAACAGGUUUGCUGUUCCAACACACAGGAUGUAAAGACAACAGGUUUACUGUUCCAACACACAGGAUGUAAAGACAACAGGUUUACUGUUCCAACACACAGGAUGUAAAGACAACAGGUUUACUGUUCCAACACACAGGAUGUAAAGACAACAGGUUUGCUGUUCUAACACACAGGAUGUAAAGACAACAGGUUUGCUGUUCUAACACACAGGAUGUAAAGACAACAGGUUUACUGUUCCAACACACAGGAUGUAAAGACAACAGGUUUGCUGUUCUAACACACAGGAUGUAAAGACAACAGGUUUACUGUUCUAACACACAGGAUGUAAAGACAACAGGUUUGCUGUUCUAACACACAGGAUGUAAAGACAACAGGUUUACUGUUCUAACACACAGGAUGUAAAGACAACAGGUUUACUGUUCCAACACACAGGAUGUAAAGACAACAGGUUUGCUGUUCCAACACACAGGAUGUAAAGACAACAGGUUUACUGUUCUAACACACAGGAUGUAAAGACAACAGGUUUACUGUUCUAACACACAGGAUGUAAAGACAACAGGUUUACUGUUCCAACACACAGGAUGUAAAGACAACAGGUUUACUGUUCCAACACACAGGAUGUAAAGACAACAGGUUUACUGUUCUAACACACAGGAUGUAAAGACAACAGGUUUACUGUUCUAACACACAGGAUGUAAAGACAACAGGUUUACUGUUCUAACACACAGGAUGUAAAGACAACAGGUUUACUGUUCCAACACAGGAUGUAAAGACAACAGGUUUGCUGUUCUAACACACAGGAUGUAAAGACAACAGGUUUACUGUUCUAACACACAGGAUGUAAAGACAACAGGUUUACUGUUCUAACACACAGGAUGUAAAGACAACAGGUUUACUGUUCUAACACACAGGAUGUAAAGACAACAGGUUUACUGUUCUAACACACAGGAUGUAAAGACAACAGGUUUACUGUUCCAACACACAGGAUGUAAAGACAACAGGUUUGCUGUUCCAACACACAGGAUGUAAAGACAACAGGUUUACUGUUCCAACACACAGGAUGUAAAGACAACAGGUUUGCUGUUCUAACACAGGAUGUAAAGACAACAGGUUUACUGUUCUAACACACAGGAUGUAAAGACAACAGGUUUGCUGUUCCAACACACAGGAUGUAAAGACAACAGGUUUACUGUUCUAACACAGGAUGUAAAGACAACAGGUUUGCUGUUCCAACACACAGGAUGUAAAGACAACAGGUUUACUGUUCCAACACACAGGAUGUAAAGACAACAGGUUUACUGUUCUAACACACAGGAUGUAAAGACAACAGGUUUGCUGUUCUAACACACAGGAUGUAAAGACAACAGGUUUACUGUUCCAACACACAGGAUGUAAAGACAACAGGUUUACUGUUCUAACACACAGGAUGUAAAGACAACAGGUUUACUGUUCUAACACACAGGAUGUAAAGACAACAGGUUUACUGUUCCAACACACAGGAUGUAAAGACAACAGGUUUGCUGUUCCAACACACAGGAUGUAAAGACAACAGGUUUACUGUUCCAACACACAGGAUGUAAAGACAACAGGUUUACUGUUCUAACACAGGAUGUAAAGACAACAGGUUUACUGUUCUAACACACAGGAUGUAAAGACAACAGGUUUGCUGUUCUAACACACAGGAUGUAAAGACAACAGGUUUACUGUUCUAACACACAGGAUGUAAAGACAACAGGUUUGCUGUUCCAACACACAGGAUGUAAAGACAACAGGUUUACUGUUCCAACACACAGGAUGUAAAGACAACAGGUUUGCUGUUCUAACACACAGGAUGUAAAGACAACAGGUUUACUGUUCCAACACACAGGAUGUAAAGACAACAGGUUUACUGUUCCAACACACAGGAUGUAAAGACAACAGGUUUGCUGUUCCAACACACAGGAUGUAAAGACAACAGGUUUACUGUUCCAACACACAGGAUGUAAAGACAACAGGUUUACUGUUCUAACACACAGGAUGUAAAGACAACAGGUUUACUGUUCUAACACACAGGAUGUAAAGACAACAGGUUUACUGUUCCAACACACAGGAUGUAAAGACAACAGGUUUACUGUUCUAACACACAGGAUGUAAAGACAACAGGUUUACUGUUCCAACACACAGGAUGUAAAGACAACAGGUUUACUGUUCCAACACACAGGAUGUAAAGACAACAGGUUUACUGUUCCAACACACAGGAUGUAAAGACAACAGGUUUACUGUUCCAACACACAGGAUGUAAAGACAACAGGUUUGCUGUUCUAACACACAGGAUGUAAAGACAACAGGUUUGCUGUUCUAACACACAGGAUGUAAAGACAACAGGUUUACUGUUCUAACACACAGGAUGUAAAGACAACAGGUUUACUGUUCCAACACACAGGAUGUAAAGACAACAGGUUUACUGUUCCAACACACAGGAUGUAAAGACAACAGGUUUGCUGUUCCAACACACAGGAUGUAAAGACAACAGGUUUGCUGUUCUAACACACAGGAUGUAAAGACAACAGGUUUGCUGUUCCAACACACAGGAUGUAAAGACAACAGGUUUACUGUUCUAACACACAGGAUGUAAAGACAACAGGUUUGCUGUUCUAACACACAGGAUGUAAAGACAACAGGUUUGCUGUUCCAACACACAGGAUGUAAAGACAACAGGUUUACUGUUCCAACACACAGGAUGUAAAGACAACAGGUUUACUGUUCCAACACACAGGAUGUAAAGACAACAGGUUUGCUGUUCCAACACACAGGAUGUAAAGACAACAGGUUUGCUGUUCCAACACACAGGAUGUAAAGACAACAGGUUUGCUGUUCUAACACACAGGAUGUAAAGACAACAGGUUUACUGUUCCAACACACAGGAUGUAAAGACAACAGGUUUACUGUUCCAACACACAGGAUGUAAAGACAACAGGUUUGCUGUUCCAACACACAGGAUGUAAAGACAACAGGUUUACUGUUCUAACACACAGGAUGUAAAGACAACAGGUUUACUGUUCCAACACACAGGAUGUAAAGACAACAGGUUUGCUGUUCUAACACACAGGAUGUAAAGACAACAGGUUUACUGUUCUAACACACAGGAUGUAAAGACAACAGGUUUACUGUUCCAACACACAGGAUGUAAAGACAACAGGUUUACUGUUCCAACACACAGGAUGUAAAGACAACAGGUUUGCUGUUCCAACACACAGGAUGUAAAGACAACAGGUUUACUGUUCCAACACACAGGAUGUAAAGACAACAGGUUUGCUGUUCCAACACACAGGAUGUAAAGACAACAGGUUUACUGUUCUAACACAGGAUGUAAAGACAACAGGUUUACUGUUCUAACACACAGGAUGUAAAGACAACAGGUUUGCUGUUCUAACACACAGGAUGUAAAGACAACAGGUUUGCUGUUCUAACACACAGGAUGUAAAGACAACAGGUUUACUGUUCCAACACACAGGAUGUAAAGACAACAGGUUUGCUGUUCUAACACACAGGAUGUAAAGACAACAGGUUUGCUGUUCUAACACACAGGAUGUAAAGACAACAGGUUUACUGUUCUAACACACAGGAUGUAAAGACAACAGGUUUACUGUUCCAACACACAGGAUGUAAAGACAACAGGUUUACUGUUCCAACACACAGGAUGUAAAGACAACAGGUUUGCUGUUCUAACACACAGGAUGUAAAGACAACAGGUUUGCUGUUCCAACACACAGGAUGUAAAGACAACAACAGGUUUGCUGUUCCAACACAG